GUGUGAGAUUCCAAGUCCUGAUUGCCCUCCGUCAGCCUUCACCAAAUACUCUCCCAACUCCAGGGACACUCUGACACGCUCGCAGACUCAUCGCCAGGACAACCAGCCUGCCAACUCACAGUCAGUACUGGCUUUGGCUGCUGCCUCAUGGGGUGGAUAUGUAUAUAUAUAUAUAUAUAUAUAUAUAUAUAUACUGUAUAUACGAUCCUCUACCCACAGGGAACUGCAGUGCUCUCUGUUGAAGUCUGAUAAGUGAUGACUUUAAGCAGCGAAUUAUAAAGUGAAUCAUAUGGGAGAGAUACAGUGUCGUUUUGCCUUUUAAUGGAUCAUUCGUGACUGGUUAGAUUGUGAGAGUCCUCUAUUCAUCACUUAGUGUAGCACAGAGUCAUUGAUUUGAUGCUUCACAACAAGCAAAGAUAGUAGGUCAUUAGGAUGCCUUCUUUAAUUGGAUCUAUGAGUUAGAUAAUGCUUCCUUCCACAAAUGAAGUAUGGCCUCUACAGAAGCUCAAAAGACUCUGAGGAACACAUGAUGCCAUUGUGGUAUAUGUAAUACAUGCACCCAUUCAGUGACUCCCUAACUCACAACUCGGAAAUCACAUUUUUCACACACACUCACCUGGCCACACACUCUUUCACUUACUUUCUUUCCCCUGUAUUUCUCCAUUCUUACCUCUCUCUUUCUUUUUCAUGUCAUUGUUUUUUUGCCUGAGCCUCUCAUUCUCUGUCUCACUGCCAAUCCAGCCAAUGCCACCCUGUCCCCAGCCCUGCCAGCUGGAACCAUGUAUCUACGUCACUGGGUUGCUCUGCGUGGACCCUCCCGCCUGAUGCCACCCCAGUGCGGGUACCAGGGCCGGGCGACGUGCGGUUUCUCCUGCACCCCUCCGAUCCGGGCGCUGCCACAGACAGUGACCCGGGACAGGGCCCCUCCUCGCAGCCACUGGGGAAGAGAGUAUACAACACUGAUGCCUAUCACAUCAACAGGCCCCAGGUGGAUUUUGAGACGGACCCGGAGGAACUGGGCGAGGCGUCGGUUUUCGACUACUCCUCCGUGACGACCUGCAGCCCCGACGACACACUGGAGCUCCACGGCAACGGCCUGGAACAGAGCAACGGCACGGAGGAGAGCCGGGGCGAGGAUGAGGAGGAGGAGGAGGAAGACGAGGAGGACAGCCAGAUCCCAGUGCUGCUGAAGCCGUCUUACACGCUCCCCCGCAUGCAGCCCUCCAGCCAGAGACCCCCCCUCUCCCAGAGGGUGGUGCAUCAGGAUGGGGCAGUCUGCACCAGGUGGCAGAUCCCCCGCGCAGCGCCCAACCCCCCCACACACACGCAGGCGCAUGCGCAGAUGCAGGCAGGAGGGCAGGUGUGUAUGACGUCAGGCGCCGGGGAGAGGAGAGAGAGACGUAUGAAGCUGCAGCGGCAACCUUCCAGAGCAUUCCGUCCCAUCUGGGACCAGCCCUAUAGGCAGGGAGAUGAGACUCCUGACAGAGACCAAUCACAACCCCACAGAGGAGUGACAUCACAGGGCCAUUCAGGUUCCAAUCCACAGCAGGACAGAAACGGAGUGAGGUCUUCGCUGUAUGGCACUGGGGGCAGAGGCACUCCUGGGACUACACUGAGAAAUCCAAAUGUUUGGAACGAGAGCGAGGACAGCGAAGGACCUUGCAGCACUGUCUAA
rnacentral:lncRNA from 1 species